rnacentral:lncRNA from 1 species
CAUAAAAUCUUUUAAGAACGAGAGACGAAUUCUUCAUAAGUUGGAAAGAACAACUUUAGCUAGGAAUCCAAAUCAAGAAAUGUUAAGAACUUGAAGAAUCAAAUCUUGAGAUUGAAUAUCAAGAACAAGAAAUAGAUUUCACAUCUCCUUCUUGUAAUUAUAAAUUUCAGGUGAUGAAUUUUCAAUUCCUUUAUUUUUUUUAUCUUUGGAAAUAUGCUAGGUUAGAUUUCUUUGGUGGUGGGAUGAAGAUGAAUCUUAUUGUUUUUUAUUUUUAAUUCAAAAAUAAAGUAGUUUAGUUAAUUUGUGUUAUUGAUUUAUUUUGUAUGCUUUAUUGAAUUAUUUGAUCACCAAACAGGUAAUUAAUUACUUGUUAUAGUGCUGAGAAGUUUACAAUACAUUUACAACUUUGCAAUUUCAAGACUCGAACAAUAAACGUUAGGAAUAACAUAUAAGGUGUGUGCAAUCAUAUAGAAAAUUUUGUAAUUGAAUUACUUUGUAUAUAAAUUUCAACUAGGAAUAUGGUCAAGUCAUUCUUCGAAUAUGUUAACUUAAUUCUGGAGAAAGAAUUAAAUAAAAUUGAAUUAUCAAUUGUCAUGAAU